rnacentral:rRNA from 1 species
UCAGAUGAGCMUAGGUCGGAUUAGCUAGUUGGUGAGGUAAUGGCUCANCAAGGUUACGAUCCGUAACUGGUCUGAGAGGAUGAUCAGUCACACUGGAACUGAGACACGGKCCAGAMUCCUACGGGAGGCAGCAGUGGGGAAUAUUGGMCAAUGGNMGAAAGCCUGAUCCAGCCAUGCCGCGUGUGUGAAGAAGGUCUKCGGAUUGUAAAGCACUUUAAGUUGGGAGGAAGGGUACUUACYUAAUACGUGAGUAKUUUGACGUUACCGACAGAAUAAGCRCCGGCUAACUCUGUGCCAGCAGCCGCGGUAAUACANAGGGUGCAAGCGUUAAUCGGAAUUACUGGGCGUAAAGCGCGCGUAGGUGGUUUGUURAGUUGGAUGUGAAAGCCCCGGGCUCWACCUGGKAAC